rnacentral:tRNA from 1 species
GCGGGAGUGGCGGAAUUGGUAGACGCGCUAGAUUUAGGAUCUAGUGUCUGAAAAGGCUUGGGGGUUCGAGUCCCCCCUCCCGCA